rnacentral:rRNA from 1 species
GUAGGGUGCGAGCGUUAAUCGGAAUUACUGGGCGUAAAGCGUGCGCAGGCGGUUAUGUAAGACAGGUGUGAAAUCCCCGGGCUUAACCUGGGAACUGCGCUUGUGACUGCAUAACUUGAGUGUGGCAGAGGGGGGUGGAAUUCCACGUGUAGCAGUGAAAUGCGUAGAGAUGUGGAGGAACACCGAUGGCGAAGGCAGCCCCCUGGGUCAACACUGACGCUCAUGCACGAAAGCGUGGGGAGCAAACAGGAUUAGAUACCCUGGUAGUCCACGCCCUAAACGAUGCGAACUAGGUGUUGGCGAAGGAGACUUUCUUAGUACCGCAGCUAACGCGUGAAGUUCGCCGCCUGGGGAGUACGGUCGCAAGAUUA